rnacentral:rRNA from 1 species
ACGCACGCUGGCGGCGCGCUUAACCCAUGCAAGUCGAACGGAAAGGCCUGCUUUCCCUUGUGGAUUGCGGGUACUCGAGUGGCGAACGGGUGAGUAACACGUGAGUGAUCUGCCCCCAACUUGGGUAUAAGCCUGGGAAACUGGGUCUAAUUCCCGAUAGGACUGCAGGGUGGUGCCUGUGGUGGAAAACGAUUUUCUAGUGGUUGGGGAUGAGCUCGCGGCCUAUCAGCUUGUUGGUGGGGUAAUGGCCUACCAAGGCGGCGACGGGUAGCCGGCCUGAGAGGGUGGACGGCCACAUUGGGACUGAGAUACGGCCCAGACUCCGACGGGAGGCAGCAGUGGGGAAUAUUGCACAAUGGGCGGAAGCCUGAUGCAGCGACGCCGCGUGGGGGAUGACGGCCUUCGGGUUGUAAACUCCUUUCGACCGCGAGGAAGCCACCUGGUUGGAAGGGUGGUGACGGUAGUGGUAGAAGAAGCACCGGCUAACUACGUG